rnacentral:rRNA from 1 species
AUUGAACGCUAGCGGCAGGCUUAACACAUGCAAGUCGAACGAGUGGCGGAAGGGUGAGUAAUGUGUGGGAAUCUGGCUGAUAGAGGGGGAUAACGACGGGAAACUGUCGCUAAUACCGCAUACCAUAGGAGGCGCCCAGAUGGGCUUAGCUAGUUGGUGGGGUGAAGGCUUCCCAAGGCGACGAUCCCUAGCUGGUCUGAGAGGAUGACCAGCCACACCAGAACUGAGACACGGCCCGGACUCCUACGGGAGGCAGAAGUGGGGAAUAUUGCGCAAUGGGGGCAACCCUGAUGCAGCCAUGCCGCGUGUAUGAAGAAGGCCUUCGGGUUGUAAAGUUCUUUCGGCGACGAUGCGUUAAUCGCAGAAGAAGCACCGGCUAACUCCGUGCCAGCCGCCGCGGUAAUAC